AAAAAUAUUCGUAGAGAUCUAAAUACAAUGAAAAAUCACGUAAAAUAUUUGUAGUAUUCUUAUAACGAUUUGUACUUCUUUGUAUACGAUUUGGUUAAUUUAUUUCUAAAGAAAUAGAAUCGAAACUGAUAUCUUGAUAUCAUGAAAAGGACUUAAGUACCACUUCAUUCUAAAUAUAUUCUAACACAAUUUAAAAUGUUUUUAGGCUUUGAAAGUGAACAAAUAAAAAGACAAAACUGUAAAUUUUACUGAACGAAUGAAUACUUUGCUCUCGGUAAGUGUUAAUUUUAAGUAGUAGAGAAAAACAAAAAAAUUAUUAGUAAAUUAAAUAGUAUAUUCUGUAAAAAUUAUAUGCUUUUAUAUUUAUAUAUUUUUGUAAACGUAAGAACUUAAUACUGAACAACAAAAUUUUAUUUAUAAAAUUACUAAGUUUUAAUUGAAAUUUCCAACACAUUGUAUUUAUACAUGGCUAUCAGAUGGUAAGUCCUAAUAUUACUAUUGUCUGGACCUAGAGUAGCACUAGCGAGGUUUGAUUGCCAGUCCUAGUUGUCGAACUCGGUGAGAUAUUUGUCUUUGGUUGUAAUCUUUCAUUACAUAGGAGGUUAUUACAUAGCCCUGUUAAAGUUAGCGAUACAGUAUAAACUUGAAAUUCAAAUAUACAACGGAUGAUUCUAAAAUAAAUGUUUGAAUUUCAAUAGUUCCAUAAAAAAUAAAUAACUGAAAUAACUAAAACAAAUAAUACUAUUUUAAGGCACAAAGUGUUUAUGCAUAGUUUUAACAUCUGAAAAUGUAAAAAAGUAUUUAACACAUUCACUGCAGUAGAUGCCCUAGCGCACUUGCUGUCUUAUAAGGUAAUAGUCAUCUUCACCCAGUAUAGAACAACAGUGAAGGUGUUUAGAAAAGAAUGAGCAAUGCUUAUCAAAUUACAGUAAAACCUGUAAUAUCCAGCCCUGUGAUAUCUGGCUACUCUGAUAUCCAGCCUGGUGGCAAAUGAUAAAAUAUUUUAUAACUGUAAAUUUUUUAAGCAAGAAUUACCACACGGUAAGCUUAUCACUUUCUCCCACACGUCAGCCAAUGGGGUGGGGGCCAAAAAGCGAUGGGGCUUUAUUUUCUGUUAUGAAAAUCUCCCCCAAGCUAAUUUUAGGAACGAUGACCUUGGUGAAGCUGCAAUCUCAGUAGUACACGAGAUAUUUACCAUCAAUAUAAAAUGUUUCAUGUUGUGUUGUAUUUUUUAAGGCAAAUGUCAGAAAUUAAAUCAAUUGUCAAUAACAAACUUUACAACAAGAACGUGAUACCAGUGCUAUUGUGUUGGCUUUCAAAUGUGCAUCGGGACAAGUGGUAGUGGUGAGGUACUUUAAACUUUUUUCAGUUUGUUAACACCUGAAUUUAAAUUACUAAAUGUUUAGCUUUUCUAAAACAAUUUAUAUUCAUACCCUCUUCAAUACAAUUAUGGUUAAUACAUAACCACAAAAGUUAUAAAUAUCAGUGCAUUAGUUGAGUUUUACACUUUCAAACAAAAUAAAGUUUCUCGCUGAACUUUUUGAUAUUUACAUAGUGGUUUCAAAAAGCAAACUGCAAAUUGUUGUGAAUUUGCAUUAUUAGUUUACAUUUUUUACAGUUCUACAUCCAGCCUAUCCUGUUGGCACAUUAGGCCACAUAUGACAUGUUUUACUGUAAUUACCCUAUACUGUUUUUUACACAAGUCUACACAAGUCACUAAUUGUUUUUGAUAUUGACAGACUAUUUAGCCUAUUCAGGUGUCCCCAAGGAUCUAUGCAGGGAAGUACCCUUAUAUUUAUUUCAGAGAUUGGGGAUAAUUAUAGUGUCUAAGAGGGUUUUAGUACUAUUAAGAAUUAAAGAAAAUUAAAAGACAUUAUAAAUGUGUGUAAUGAUAUAUUGUUAGAAUUUAGAAUUGUAUUAGUCAUAUAUGUCUAAAAAUACUAAUAAGGUAAAAUAAAAUUUCAGUGGGUGGGGGAAUUGACCCUCUGGAUACACCCCUGGAUCUAUUUUAUAAGUACAAGUGCGAGAUAUUACGUACAGUAUAACAGAUACUAAAGAAAAUAUUUUUAAAAUCAAGGCAGGGUUGAAACCACUUUUACCUAUAAAUGGAACUCCAAGCCUAACUCUUCACCACAAUUUCUCCUAAAAGCCAAAACAGAGUAAAUCAAUCCCAAAGCGAAAAAAAUUGUGUUUUUUUAUCACAAACAGUACACUCAAAUUGAAACCAAUACUUAAUUACUCUAAAAACUUAAUUAGUCACUACUUAAACUUUUCAAAUGAACAAGCUUUAUGGCAUACAGAAGAACUAAGUAACAACUUAAAACUACUGACUGUGUAACUUUAAAAACUUGUAUUAAAACUUUAAUACUGUUAAGUACUUAUGAGACUGAUUGGCUAACAAAUACUUGGGUUUCCUUAUACUGAGAGUAGUACUAAGUUUACUUUGAACGGAUUGUCCCUACAGUUUCUUCUUCUGCAGAAUCCCAGUCCUCGUUUGUCCACUUGGCCUUGGUGACGUUUUUGUCGACGUACAUGAACGCCAGAGCACUGAUAGCUCCUGCUGGUGCCAACACCAUCAGCUGUGUGUGGAGACCGAUGUGGCUCGACACAAAGAAGCCAAGACCAACAAAGAAACUCUGAAAAAUAAUAAGCUUCAUAUGUUUACAAGAAAGAACAAGUCAACAGAUCUGUACUGCGUAAAACUUAAAAUGAAAUAGUGCUAUAUGAGAAAUCUCUAUAAUCCACUAGAUUCAAUAUAAGUGCUUUCAAUACAGAAAUUUAAGUUUUGACAUA
rnacentral:lncRNA from 1 species